CAGCAGCCGCGGUAACACGUAGGUGGCAAGCGUUGUCCGGAAUUAUUGGGCGUAAAGGGCUCGCAGGCGGUUUCUUAAGUCUGAUGUGAAAGCCCCCGGCUCAACCGGGGAGGGUCAUUGGAAACUGGGAAACUUGAGUGCAGAAGAGGAGAGUGGAGUUCCACGUGUAGCGGUGAAAUGCGUAGAGAUGUGGAGGAACACCAGUGGCGAAGGCGACUCUCUGGUCUGUAACUGACGCUGAGGAGCGAAAGCGUGGGGAGCGAACAGGAUUAGAUACCCGUGUAGUCCCUGUCUCUUAUAC
rnacentral:rRNA from 1 species